UCACGGAAGAGACUGGUGCUUCAUCUCAUACAGGUAUUUAUUUAAUUCAUUCCAUUUAAGUUAUAUGUUGACCCGAUUUUAAUCCAUGGCUGGUUUACAGUUCAACAAUUUCUGUGGAAUGGUAAUGUCUGUUACAUUACUAGUGCUAGUGAGAGUGCUGUUGUAUCAGCUUUGAUGUUUAAAUACUUUCCUGAAAAAUUGUAUUGCUUAUACGUUCAUGUAAACCUGUGCGUCAUGUAUUUGUGCAUUCUGUGAAGGGUUAGUCAUGCCACAUCUCGCUUCUGUUCUUUCAGGUUUAGAGAGUAGCAGUGCUGGUUCUAAAGCAGGACAGUCUGGGGACGAGGCGGUGCAGCAGCGCACCUGUCCGGCAGUGGCUGUGCUGGGUGGCACCUUCGUGGCUUCACAGAAUGUGGCUGGGCCACCCCAGCAUGCCCUGCAGCCAGUCACAGCUGCCACUCUACCACCAUCAUCGGUUGAUGUCGCCACUGGAUCGCAGCAGAAAGGAGACUCAAAGGCUGCAUGUAAAGAACAGACCAUCACUUACGUUCAAAGAAACCGCGGCACCGAGGAAUCAGCGGAGAUAUCAGUUGCCCAAAGAGGACUGGUGUCAGCUACUGCUGAAGACACACAAAAUCUUACAGACACAUUGGAGGGUCACACUCCCUCAGACAGACUUUUUGAGAGCGGGACAGAUAGCAUUACACAGAAACAGGAUUUGCUUUACGGGUGUAAAAGAGAGCAAACAAGUCUUGCGUACAGGGAGACUGAUAUGGCGGAAGGAUCUGGCACAGGCCACUGCCAAGAUUGGAGCCAACACCCUGGAGAUGCAGGGGUUGUCUCUGCCCCUGUUGAGACAGAAAAGGGACCCUUGCCUCCAGAGACAAUCAAAUUGGACUACAAGAACAUGUCUGGAAAGCACACACCUAAAGAAAGCCCCUGUGUCCCAACAACAGAAGUCCUCCCAGCGGUCUCAAGUGCAGUUAAUACAGCAGACAGAGACAUGGAGCAGUCCCAAACAACUACCAUUUUUCAGACAAAUCAGACUUCUGCAUCAUCUGCGUUUGGCAUCCCACAGAAGCAAAGUACGACAAAUUCAGCGAAACAGGAUUGUAAACUUGACUCUAAGGCAGCUAUGGAAGUUGUCACACGAGAUCUGGCUAAAACAGACAAAGAAGGAGCAGUUAGUCCAAUUAAACCAAUCUUGGGAACAAAACAAGGUAAUAGU
ensembl:lncRNA